CAAAUGAAGCUUUAUGGAAAGACAUUGCAAAUUGAGCUUGUUGGAACAACUUUGGUUACCCCUGCUCCCACAGAAAUACCAAAGUUUUCUAUUAUUUGAGUACAGGAUAAUGGUCAUAUGUCUGAGUUCUGAUUUGCAUGACUUUACUUAUGUUAAUACUGGCGUGCACUUUGUACUUGUCAUUUCGAAACUUUGAUCAGACUUGGUUACCAAAUUUGGUUCAAGCCCCUGUCAAGUUUGGCCAACCAAAGCCAAUAUCUUCCCUGCUUUUUACUUGUUUCAGAUGGUUCAGUGGAGAUUAUUUUCAUUUACUAGAAA
rnacentral:lncRNA from 1 species